rnacentral:rRNA from 1 species
UCAAGCUAGAAAGAGCAUAGGGUGAAUGCCUUGGCACCAGGAGCCGAUGAAGGACGCAGCGAUCUGCGAUAAGCCAUGGUGAGCCGAAAGCAGGCUUUGACCCAUGGAUUUCCGAAUGGGGCAACCCACCUGGGUUAAUACCCAGGUAUCCAUCACUGAAUCCAUAGGUGAUGGAGGGGACACCCGGGGAACUGAAACAUCUAAGUACCCGGAGGAAAAGAAAGAAACCUCGAUUUCCUAAGUAGUGGCGAGCGAAAGGGAAAGAGCCCAAACCGUGUCAGUAAUGAUACGGGGUUGUGGACCGGAGCAAAGGUCGGAUAUUGCUAGUCGAACCGUUUGGAAAGACGGACCAAAGAAGGUGACAGUCCUGUAGGCGAAAGCGAUAGAAGGCUGUCCGGUAUCCAGAGUACCACGGGACACGUGAAACCCUGUGGGAAGCAGGGGGGACCACCCCCCAAGGCUAAAUACUACCUGGUGACCGAUAGUGGAGCAGUACCGUGAGGGAAAGGUGAAAAGCACCCCGGGAGGGGAGUGAAAGAGAACCUGAAACCCUAUGUUUACAAGCAGUAGGAGCACGACAUAUGUGCGACUGCGUACUUUUUGUAGAACGGGCCGGCGAGUUACAGUAGUAUGCGAGGUUAAGGACUGGAAGGUCCGGAGCCGCAGGGAAACCGAGUCUUAAUAGGGCGGAGAGUAUGCUGCUGUAGACCCGAAACCAGGUGAUCUAUCCAUGGGCAGGUUGAAGCGGGAGUAAGAUCUCGUGGAGGACCGAACCCACCGGUGUUGAAAAACCGGGGGAUGACCUGUGGAUAGGGGUGAAAAGCCAAUCGAACCUGGAGAUAGCUGGUUCUCCCCGAAAUAGCUUUAGGGCUAGCCUCAAGGGGAAAGAGCCGUGGAGGUAGAGCACUGAAUGGGCUAGGGGGCCGACAAGCUUACCGAACCUUAUCAAACUCCGAAUGCCACGGAUUGGUCCUUGGGAGUCAGACUACGAGAGAUAAGUUUCGUAGUCGAGAGGGGAACAGCCCAGACCAUCGGCUAAGGUCCCGAAGUACAGGUUAAGUGGAGAAGGAUGUGGGAUUGCGGAGACAACCAGGAUGUUGGCUUAGAAGCAGCCAUACAUUUAAAGAGUGCGUAACAGCUCACUGGUCAAGUGAUUCUGCGCCGAAAAUGACCGGGGCUAAAACCUGACACCGAAGCCGUGGGUUCUGCGAAUGAGCAGGGCGGUAGGGGAGCAUCGUAUACGGGCAGAAGCCUGACUGAAAAGGAGGGUGGACUGUAUACGAGGGAGAAUGCCGGCAUGAGUAGCGAGAGGGUGGUGAGAAUCCACCCCGUCGGAAGCCUAAGGAUUCCUGAGGAAGGUUCGUCCGCUCAGGGUAAGUCGGGACCUAAGCUGAGGGCGAAAGCCGUAGGCGAUGGACAAUCGGUUGAGAAUCCGAUACCACCUUAAUCCGGCAGAGAGAGGCAGUGACACAGGAGGGGAGGCAGAGCGAGCUGAUGGUAGAGCUCGUCCAAGCGGUAAGGCAGGCAAGUGAGUGAAGAACCACUUGCUGAUAAUGCUGAGCCGUAAUGGGGACCGAAGGGAAGUAGGGAAGCUGCCGGGCUCAUACUGUCGAGAAAAGCUGCUAUCGAGGGUUAAGGUGCCCGUACCGCAAACCGACACAGGUAGGCGAGGAGAGGAUCCUAAGACGAACGGGAGAACCCUUGUUAAGGAACUUGGCAAACUGACCCCGUAACUUAGGGAGAAGGGGUGCCCACCGAUAGGUGGGCCGCAGGGAGUAGGCCCAAGCGACUGUUUACCAAAAACACAGGUCUCUGCUAACUCGAGAGAGGAAGUAUAGGGGCUGACGCCUGCCCAGUGCUGGAAGGUUAAGGGGAAGCGUUAGCGAAAGCGAAGCGUAGAACCGAAGCCCCAGUGAACGGCGGCCGUAACUAUAACGGUCCUAAGGUAGCGAAAUUCCUUGUCGGGUAAGUUC